UGGGUCGUUCGGGUGAUACCUUUGCUCGGUCAGGAGAUGGAGCUGGUCGUUUGGGAGACGGUGACGGGUCUAUAUAUACAUUCUCGGGAGAUGGAGAUCGAAUCGGCACGGAUUCUCGUGGUAGUGAUGGGGCUGAAGCUGCACUAGGAGGAUCGUCAGAAGAACGCUUCCUUUUCUGAGAUAAUGCAGGCACGGUUUCAACUUGUUCUUCCUCAUCAGAAACUCGUAUUUCCACUGGAAUUAUUAAAGGGAGCUUGAU
rnacentral:lncRNA from 1 species